UAGGGAAUCUUCCGCAAUGGGCGAAAGCCUGACGGAGCAACGCCGCGUGAGUGAUGAAGGUCUUCGGAUCGUAAAACUCUGUUAUUAGGGAAGAACAAAUGUGUAAGUAACUAUGCACGUCUUGACGGUACCUAAUCAGAAAGCCACGGCUAACUACGUGCCAGCAGCCGCGGUAAUACGUAGGUGGCAAGCGUUAUCCGGAAUUAUUGGGCGUAAAGCGCGCGUAGGCGGUUUUUUAAGUCUGAUGUGAAAGCCCACGGCUCAACCGUGGAGGGUCAUUGGAAACUGGAAAACUUGAGUGCAGAAGAGGAAAGUGGAAUUCCAUGUGUAGCGGUGAAAUGCGCAGAGAUAUGGAGGAACACCAGUGGCGAAGGCGACCUUCUGGUCUGUAACUGACGCUGAUGUGCGAAAGCGUGGGGAUCAAACAGG
rnacentral:rRNA from 1 species